UACGGGGGGGGGCAAGCGUUGUUCGGAAUUACUGGGCGUAAAGGGCUCGUAGGCGGCCAACUAAGUCAGACGUGAAAUCCCUCGGCUUAAUCGGGGAACUGCGUCUGAUACUGGAUGGCUCGAGUUUGGGAGAGGGAUGCGGAAUUCCAGGUGUAGCGGUGAAAUGCGUAGAUAUCUGGAGGAACACCGAUGGCGAAGGCAGGUCUCUGGGCCGAUACUGACGCUGAGGAGCGAAAGCGUGGGGAGCGAACAGG
rnacentral:rRNA from 1 species